GUGAUACCCAGUGGAUACCACUAAUUGCAACCUUUCUGCUCCAACACAUCUUCCAAGACUUAAUUACAGAAUAAGUGAAGGAGUCCCAGCUGAGGAGUUCCUGUCAUUUCCUGGCUGAUUUCAGGUCUUCUAGGAGAAGCAGGAGAACCCAGGAAGCUGGAUGCUAGCAGGAGAACCCAGGAAGCUGGAUGCUAGCAGGAGAACCCAGGAAGCUGGAUGCUAGCUGUUGGCACAUGACAGGCAAGAAUAAAACUAACUUGCCAAAUGAGGAAACAAGAAAAAACAGCAACAACAACAGCAGCAACAAAAUCAACAAUAAAAACCAACCUUUCUUUCUGAAGACGGUUUCCAAACAGAACACAUACAAAUUCUGUGGUAAUUAACAACAUCCACCUCCCUUACUAUGCUGAAGUUUCUGCAAACCAGAAUUAAAUUGAACAUGUCAACUCUAAAUCUCCUGUCACAGGGAAUUUUGUAGCAAGUCUUCAUGAUGGCACAAAUGUAAUCUUUAGUACAGCCUGAGGAGGAACUAAGAUCAUAAAGAGGUUUUUCAGUAAGACAAGGACCUGCUUUAAUACAGUCCAAGGCAAGAUGCCCCCAUGUUAAAAAGAACUAUGUCCUGAAAUUUUCCGUGCAAUUUGAAUAAUUUUUCUCUCAGAAACAUAGUAUAAAUGUAGGUUAGUUCCCAGGCCUAGCCCUGUAAAAGCUUAUUUAAACCAAAGGAGAAAUGAAAACAGUAGGAAGCAAUGGCUUUGUAAUACCA
rnacentral:lncRNA from 1 species